rnacentral:lncRNA from 1 species
CUCAUAAAAUAAGUCACACAAAUAAUAAUAAGUUAUGAUUUUAAUUUCUAUAUAGUUAUUAAGUGUAUAUGAUUAAAGUCAAAUGUUUAUAAUAAUUCGACGGUUAUGAUUGAUUGACAACGUAAAAAAAACUUACGGGAACAUGAGAGUCUCUAGCGCUACGUUUAGCAUCGGUGGCUGAGAAGACGGUGUAAACAAGAAUGAAAGUGCCAACAAUUUCAGCACCAAGACCAUCACCUUUGGUGUAACCAGGAGCAACAAAGUUGGCACCACCUUUCAGAUCUCCAAAUCUUGUCUUUCCUUCAAAACCUUUCACAACACCAGCACCACAAAUAGCACCCAAACAUUGCAUCACCAUGUAGAACAAUGCUCUUGUCAAUGACAAUUUCCUUGCCAAAAAUAGCCCAAA